rnacentral:lncRNA from 1 species
CGAGCAGGAAGGUGUGCGGGAAUUUCUGCCCCCGCGACCACAGAAGCGCGCCAGGUUCCAGCUCAUGGCAGUGAGAAGAUGGAGAGCAAGCGGGCGAAACGGUCUGGCAAAGUGCCAGCAAAGUAUACCGACGAUGUAUAUGAAGUACCUGUCUCCAGACACGUUCAAAGAAAAGUUUCAGAACCGAGUGUGUCCACCACUGCAGUGAAGAAAGCAGUUGAGCAAGUGACAGAACCUACUGCAAAUGCUGAAAAAGUGAAGAAACAUCAUUCCUUUACCACUCAACCUGCACAACAGCUGAAGAAAGAUCAAACUGCUGCUCCUACAGUCCAAUCUGCACUGCAAAAUGCCAAACAGACGGUAGAGAUGCAGAAGAUGAAGAUAAAUAAUCUGGAAGAAAAGCUCUUAAACUAAAGUUUGAUGAUCAACAUCAGUCAUCUGCAGGACCUCAGCAGUCAACCCUUCGGAUGUCUGCUACAUCUCAGCAUUCUCCAACCUCUACAGACUCAUCAAAGUCUUCAGAUUCAGAGGAUUCAGAGGCCUCGCUCAAAAAGAAGAAGCAAAAGACAAAAUCAAAGACUGAUUAUUUCAGCCGAGGUAUGCUAACAUUAUCAAUACCUGAUCCAUAACCAGAGGUUAAAAGGUUAAAAAACAUGUUGCAAUCAAUAGGCAGAGGUGGCAAGUACUUUGAUACUGUACUUAAUUAAAUGUUUAAACUAUCUAUAUUUUACUUCC